GAUGAAGAACGUAGCGAAAUGCGAUACGUAGUGUGAAUUGCAGAAUUCAGUGAAUCAUCGAAUCUUUGAACGCACAUUGCACCUCUCGGUAUUCCGGGAGGUAUGCCUGUUCGAGCGUCAUUUGUACCCUCAGGCUCUGCUUGGUGUUGGGUGUUUGUUCCGCCUCUGUGUGUGAACUCGCCUCAAAACAAUUGGCAGCCGGCGUACUUGUUUCGGAGCGCAGCACAUUUUGCGAUCCAGAUCAACGUACAGCGGCAUCCAAGAAGCCUUAUUUAACGCUCUUGACCUCGGAUCAGGUAGGGAUACCCGCUGAACUUAAGCAUAUCAAUAAGCGGAGGA
rnacentral:misc_RNA from 1 species